UACGGAGGGUCCGAGCGUUAUCCGGAAUUAUUGGGUUUAAAGGGUCCGUAGGCGGGCCGUUAAGUCAGGGGUGAAAGUCUGCGGCUCAACCGUAGAAAUGCCUUUGAUACUGGCGGUCUUGAGUUAUGGUGAAGUUGCCGGAAUAUGUAGUGUAGCGGUGAAAUGCAUAGAUAUUACAUAGAACACCGAUUGCGAAGGCA
rnacentral:rRNA from 1 species